AUUCACAACCUUUAAAUAAAGAAAAAGCUUUGCUUUCCUUUGUGAAGGUGCCUGCCAGUUGGCUUGCUUGUCUUUGUGUUUAUAAUACACGAUGGAAAAAGGGAAUAGCUGGACUGUUUUUCCAGCGCCGGGAGGUAUUUUGCUUUCAUCGCACAGAUAUUCAGUCCAUUCAGAAAACUGUCUGGGACAGUUUUGGCUAAAGACAUUAGGAUUUAUUGGGCAUUUUAUUUCUUUCCAGUGAAAUCCAUGAGGGUUUCAGGAGUCUAACUGCAGCGUGAAGACAGGGAGAGAGCCAGCCCUCUCUUCUUAAGGGCUUCCCUGUAACCUCCAAGGAGUCUUGCUUCUAAUUUCAGCCAGUUCAGAAAAAAGAGGGGAUAAAUUACACAUAGGUUUGAACUUUUGAGGUUUACUGCAAGCCUGUCAUUCCUUUCAGCCUCUUUAUUCUCCUUUGCUGGUCACAGCACCACAGGCGGAUCGAGAUUGUGUUGCAAUUAAGGGGGAAGAUCUAUAUUUACAGCGUGGAAAGAAUUUGUACAGAAGCCACAGUUGUCUCCCUGCCUAGCAUGACAUUUUCAUUCUGUACUAAUGUUGUGUAACCUCCUGGUGAAUGAUACACGGUGACAUCCAGCUCCGACAUUGUCAUCCUGAUCUGAGUGUGUGGCUUCUCCUCCUGACCAUGGCUGAAGACACCUGCCUCCAGUUUGGGAGCAGUAGGCUGCCACUGGUGUCUCCUUCCUGACUGUGUGCAAAAAUCUUGCAGGAUCAGCUCUUCUCCGCCUCUCAUCCUACUGCAGUAUCCCCAGCAGAAACAGCGCAGACCUGGUAGUGGCCUGCUGUGCUUCCUCACACAAAUUGGGAAGCUAUUUGUUUCGAAAUCAUACCGGAGAACAGUCUUCCCAGUGGGGAGAGCUCCAUCUUCCCGGACCACAUGGUCCCCUCAGCAGGGAACUGCUGGAAACGGGGCAGAGAACAUCCUUUCAACGCUCACUACAAGUUGUCUCCUGCUGGCCAGGGCUGCACCAUCUGCUGAAGAGAGGAGAGCAUUUCCCUCUAGCCCCUCUCCAGCCUUUGGUUGCCAGUUCAAAGGCAACAACAGUGAAUAUGACAGCAUAUAAUUAAGUGGGAAUGGAUACCCACGUGAGCCCAGGGGACAGGGGUGAACAUAAGACGCUGGCAGAAUUCUUCGCACCUUGUCCUGAGCAGAUGGCACCAAAAUAGCCUUUUUUUUAUUUUUUGUAACCAUUUAAAUAAUGAAGCGACAACCCGCCUAAAGCAGCCCCAUCUGGAUCAUAUGAUCCUAAUCUUCCUCAGGGUUAAGUGCAGGUUGUCUCACCGAGGGCUGAGUAUGGCAGAGAGCAUGGUCACUGGCACACAAAUUGCAUGGCUGGAAAUCCAUUCUCUUAAAUGACUUCCUCUCCACCCAUGUUAAAUUUGGGACUAGAAAUGCUUGCUUCUAGCUGAAGAGCUUUGACCAGAAACCUAAACUAGUGGAUAUUCCAAUGCUGCCUUUUUUUACCAUUAGUGUGUCUCCCCUCACUCGCCAAAUCUGCAACAGGCUGGAAAAACAAGACCG